AGUGGACAAUUGAAGCAAUGCUUCUCGGCUUUCAUCGCCUCAGCCCUAGCCUCUUAUCGCCAAAACCCCUUAAAAGUCCAGAGGGUAAAACUAAACGUCGUGGGAUUCUACCUUAUCUUCGUCUUCUCUUGAUGACUCUACCGGCUUAAACCAAAAUUCUGAUCUCAGACCGGUUGGCCAACGUUUCGAUUUGUUGACACUCACUGAACCUAGUCGUGGAAAUGGCGAUGACUUUGCCAAUGCAUCGUUGAAUCGGGAGAGAGACAACGGUGAUGAAGAAGACGACCAAUUAAUUGUGGAGAAUAAGGAUAUAAUAUGUGACGAAAGGCCCUCUAGUUCUACCAGUAGUGGAUAUGCCGGUGAGAGAGGAAGUAGUAGUGCCACGAGCGAGUCUAGGAUCGAUGAAGUGAGUGAAAUUGAUGGUAAUGAGAUUCAUGAAGUAAGGAACCAUGGUUUCCUCGAAGGAUUCUCCGUUAAUCAAGCACCCCCUUGGGUUCCAGGUAAACGCCAUGUUGAUGAGGUUAGCCAUUCCAGUUCUUUUUCCUUGUUGAACAAAAAAAAUGGUUUAGCUUGUUUUUCGCCGAAUUUAGUAAAUUUAAAGUUGGGAAUGUUUAUGAGGCUUUGGAAUUUGGAUCAGUGGAUAACGAUUUUAUUGUUUGAGUGUAAGAAUUAUUAGCCUUUCAUGGUUUGAUUUGGAAACAAAAAGAAAGAAGCAACUUCAAACAAUCUUUGCUAUAUUGCAUCAUGUUUAAUUUAGGAAUGAAGUGCAGGAUGAUGGUUCGACAGCAUGGAGAAAGAGGAAGAAACACUUCUUUAUUUUGAGUAAUUCUGGUAAAUCGAUAUAUUCCAGAUAUAGAGAUGAACACAAACUAGCUGGUUUCUCAACUACAUUACAAGCCAUCAUUUCCUUCGUGGAGAAUGGGGGAGAUCGUAUCAAAUUGAUCAAGGCUGGGAAACACCAGGUAUUGUUACACUUGCUACUUUUGGAUUUGAAAUUUAUGUACUUUCUAAUUUUCCAGCUCUGCAAUCAGUUGUUAUUAGACUACUUGCAUUUGAAAUACUUUCUCAUCCAUUUAAUGAUUAAUCUUUUAAGUAUUCCUUUGAAUUGACUUUUCAUAUUUUUGAAAUUGCAUUCUUUAGAAAUAAACACUGAGGAGUUGCAAUUUAAUUUCUGUUUCACAGUAGUAUAAUCAGCGUAGUUUCAUUAAAUGUGAUGGAACUUUAAUCCUCAAAUAGUUUUGUAAUAUUUGGCAAGACGUGUCAAUUAAUUUUAAAAAGAAAAGUGAAUGAUGUGAUAGCCGUUUGUUUGAUAUUGUUAGAAAUAGACAUGUUUACAUGGACAAAGAAGUGUUGGCCUUCUAUUUUUCUUUUGGUAGAUGAUCUGGGUGAUUUUUCUGCGGAGCUUAAACUGUCGUUUUUUCAGCUUGGUAUCAGCCCUUAGAUCAUUGCAUCCAUAAUUAUGCAGGUCAAGGUUCGUCUCUAAUUAUAUGUGUUGGAAUAUUAACUAGAUACACAGAUACGCUGUAUGAGAUGUUGACUCAACUCUCAGGCAGUGCCGUGAGUUGGUGGCCGUACAUGCUUGCUGUAUUAGGUGUUUUUACUGUAGUCACCAUGUGGGCAGCUGUAAUUGAGGGUUGCAGGAAAAUAAAGCUGCAGUACUAUGGGUUUAAACUAGCAUCUGCUGCAAGUGUCCCUGUCAGUCGGGAGGUACCGAGUGUGGAUAUUAU